CUCGCCCAGAACGGUCAGUCUAAUAUUAUUGUGGGGGUACUGAAGAUUCGAGGGCGCGUGUGUACGGGCAUACACGGAGGAAAAUGGAGUCAAAAGUGCACAGCGGUACUUUGGUUCGGAGUCCCAACUGGACCAUACCACAAAAAUCAAAGCGGCAAAAACCCGGGAAACAAGCGCGACGCAGUAGCCACAUUAUCCCGUUUAAAACCAAUAGAACCCCGAUCCCCAAGAUGUACGGUGUGAACCGAGGUGGUAAGGUCUACGAGGCACUUCUUUUUAAAACGGGGGUGUCCGAAUUUUAUACGAGUCCCAAAUAUUUGGAAUAGACCCACCCGUCCCCGCUUCUGGUUGAGCCCAGCCCCGAUUCUGCUGCAGAACAAGGAAGGAAAAUCUCCAUUUUGGGUGGGACUAAAACAACAACCAGCUUCGAAAGACCCAAGGAAGUCUGCUUAUAUUCUUCAGCUCAAACUGCUACGACUAGCCACGAAACUCAGACAGAUACUUACUCUAUUAUGACCUGGCGAUGAAACUUCGGGUUUGAUGCAGAAACAAUAUCAAUUUUUAAUGUUUUAAUUGAAAACGGACAAGUUGUUCUUACCUCAGAAUGGUAGCUGCAGAGAUGGCUGCAUUGCAUAUAUUAACAUAAUCUUCCUAGUAACAGAAUAGGGUCUUGGUUACGAUUGGUAGAGUGCCUGUAUUUGAAAAAUAAAUAGAUAAAUAUAUGUUUAGUGAAACCGAUUGGUAAAGGCGCAAACCAGUUGAAACGCCCAAAAAUUCCCAAACAGUGCGCUUUACUGCUUUUUCACCUUGCUUGAAUUAAAUUCUUAAUAUCUGGAAUAUAUCUUUUCUUAAAUGGUCGAACGAUGUAUUCCGCCAUUUCCCAGCCAUCAUAUCUAGCCAAUGAAAAUCCGCGCUACUUCCAUUUAGUUGGGGAGCCUCUAGCGGUGACAUACACUCAUUUUGAAGAAAAUGGUGCGAAUGUGGGUUUUGUUUUUGAGAUACCAUUCGGAAACACCAGAAUAGUUUCUCAGAAUUGUAUUUGUUUAUCGUCGAUGUUAUAAACAUGGGAAAAGCAUAUUGCGUUAUUUGGUUGGAAUUCCCUGCUCUGCGUCACUGCUAUGCAGUACGCACUAUAGCCAAACUGAUCAGUGCUUUCUUCCCUUUCAUUACCGUGGGUUACGUGUUAAAAGGGGUCUUACGAAAGUCCUUGGCAACUUUGAACUUCCGAUAUGUGCAGAGAGAAAUGGAAGGAAACCACAAAGCUAAGUUAAACUCAUGGAAAUGCUUGAGAGAUCCCAUAGAACUUAAUAUUCUUAGAAAUCCAAUCCACAUUGACCCCAUAAUUACAAAAACCCAUCUUAUGCCAAAGGAAAUGUAAAUGUACAUGUGAUGAAGGUCAUAAUGUUAGCAUCUCCUCUUGAGGACAUGUUUAUCAGCUUUGCCCCUUAGGGAAAUCUCCUGGCUAACCGUGGGAAUGGUACUAACUCACAAUGUCCAGCUGCCCAUAUGUUGGUAGAGGCACUCAAAACUAAAUACAUUUACUGAGAUACAACAACACAGAAAGCAAACUUUCUAGAAAUAUUGAAUUCUUCCUUGUUACGCAACUGACAUAACUGCCACAUAAUCCAAUUUAAUAAAAAAAACGGCCAUCUAGUGUCCAUUCCUUUGUUCAUUAAGGAUAUUUUUAAGGACUCUCGGAAGAGUAACAACAGGUAUAGGAGGGUAUUUAAGUCACCUUUUUAAGUGGGGAAUUCUUAUCCUAAUCCACAGAAAAACUUGUAACUGUGAUCUUGGAAUUAUCUACCUGCUUUUGUAGAGGGAAAAAAAGGGAGUGAGGUAUUGACCCACACAGCUCGAAAUAGCCUCAAGCUGUUGUAAGAUGUGGAUAGAGAACUUGUUUUUGAGCUGAACUCGGUGAUUGGAAAUGUGCCGUACUGUCAGUGAAGUGAGAUGGCGCGAACUCCCAAUCAGCAUUAAAACGAAUCCCUAGGCCACGCUCACAGUGAAAUCAGCACCUUGAGUCAAACAGGAAGUGUGGGGGCGAGGCGGGGGCGGGGCGGGGGGGGGGGGGGGAUGCCGUGUGACUGCAUGCAGCUGUCUAAUUAAGGCCUUUCAUGGGUGUGUCUGAUGGUUGGAGUGAUAAUAGCCCAACAAGGUAAAAAUUUCCCAUAUGUGAUGAGUCUGGGUGAAGGUUUGCAUGACAUAUCUUUGUCCUCCGGGAAUUUUGGGUAGGGUUGCGGUAAGCACAUGAAGUGAUCCUCAAUCAGGCAGUGGCUCUGCACUCGAAUAUUCCCGAGGAACGGAGGUGUGUCACGCUGGCCUCUCCCAGACUUAUCAGCACAUAGGGAAAUUUGGCUUUGCUUUGGGUUGCUCCUAUCCACUGGACACACCCGCGUAUUAAACACGUGAAUUACACUCAGCUGCAUUGCCACUGGCUGCUCUUUGCUGUUGUGCAGCAGAAAUACAAAGGGACCUUUUAGAAGCACAAUGGUGUCAGUUACACCUCUCCAUCUCUGUUCCCUCAAGCAAUUGGCACCAAUGAAAACAGUCUUUCAAGGAAUUUUGGCCGUUUGAAGGUAUGAUGAGUCAGACGCGUCGCUUCUUCUCACAGAGUCUGCUUUACACAUUCGUUUUUCUGGCGCGUAGAUUGUGUAGUCUUCCCUCUGUAUGCAUUUCUUCCACUUCGGUCAGACGGGGGGGAAAGCAGAGUGGGUUACAGAAAGGGCACAGAUCACUACAGAGAGUCCCAUGGCAAGGUAGCCAACCCCUGGUUGCACAGAGGAUUUUGUACAUUACAUUACAUUGCAGGCGUUUAGCAGACGUUCUCAUCCAGAGCGACUUACACAACUUUUACAUAGCAUUUGACAUUGUAUCCAUUUAUACAGCUGGAUAUUUACUGAAGCAAUUCAGGUUAAGUACCUUGCUCAAGGGUAGAAUGGCAGUGUCUUACCCAGGAAUCGAACCUGCGACCUUUUGGAUACAAGCUGUUUCUAACCCACUGUGCUACACUGUCGCACAUUGUAUGUGGGUUGGGAGUCAGCUGCCCUACAGACUAGGCAACACAAGUUACUGCGAUUUUUUCCCCCAGUUUAAUAUGCCUAGUUUUCAUUUGACUGUAUUUAAAGACUCAAUUAAACACGGUCAGGUGAAUUUUUAAAAGUACCCUCUCCCCUCUCAGAAUAACCUUUAUCCAACAAAUUCAGCUUCAGUCCCCAGUGUUGAAUGGCACUAAUUAACACCGUUCUCCCCAGCUGACACAAGCUUCGUUAAGAUAGCAGACACACAGAUUACAGGGACUGUGAAGUGAUGCUUCUGUAGACUGAGUCCCAUGUUUAUUCAUUCUGGCUGUUGCCUCACAUCAUUUGAUGCAGUCAUGGUCACAUACAUAUCAGUGAGCAUAAGCUUAAGGAGAUUAAAAAAAUAAUAAUAAUAAUUCAAUUUUGUCAAUAUUUGUGUUUUCAAGUUAUUUGAAAGCAGGAUACUAGUGACUGUGACAUUUAAAUUGAUCAUGUUCAGAAAUGGUCAUUGUUACCAUAAAAAUAGUCCAAUAUUUAGGUUAGAAUAUCCAAGUAUUUAGGUUGGUAUUUAGAACUUGUUAUCUAAACAGCAAAUUCAGACUUCGUUUUGUUAUAUACCACAUUUGACACCCUUUCAGUGUUUACUGUAGUACUACUGAAGCUAAUGAAAAGUCACAGUGGAGGCUGCUGGGUGAGUCAUCCUAUUAAGGCACUGUUCCAAUGCAUGGAUAGAUGCCAUGGUCCAGUAUCGAAUCCAGUUGAUGCCAGUACUGACUGUGGCUGGCAGCAAUUAGCUUGUAUUGCCCACAGCAGGAGAGUGCCAAGGACAGCAACUGACUGUGCAACAGCACCCACUGCUGGUAUGUUGGACUCCCAUGAGUCUGCUUGUUGAUUAGCACAUGGAGUAUCUUCCUCCAACUCAUGUCUUUGUGAGUCCGGCUUCUGACUUUUGAUGUAACAAGAAGUGGCGGUCGCCAUCAUGUGCUUCUGACGAAAGAGCAGGUUUGUCCCGACUCAAGGCUGUGGCGGUGAACUCCGGUAAAAUACGAUUGGGCGCUCCAAAAUGAGGAGGAAAAGGGAUUUAAAAACAAAGAAGGCACACUGAAAAAAAGUUGGGAAAACAGCUUAUCAGAGUCCUGGUGUGGAUAAAGGCUGGCCUUGUCGACCAUGAGCAGGGCGCUUUGAGUGUUUUUUAUUCUCCGCGUGAUCAAAGCAGUUGGCGCGAUGCUGUGUUUUAAUUUGCGCAGCGAUAGGAUCAUGUGACCAGCUUAUCAAGCAACCAGACUGCAGCGCUCAGUGACAGUCUAGGCUGGGCGCGCUCAAUUAGGGGCACCUGGCCUGGUAGCGGCUGGGUGGAGUUUUCACUCGAUUUCAAUCGGGCCCUCCUGGCGAAGAGGCUGCCAACCUGCCCGCUCCAAUGCCGCGGCAACAAGCGGCGGUGCCACGCCCUUCCCGGUCUCCUCACGUCAUGUGACCCGGAGGGAACCGGUCGUUGUUUAAACGAGCGUAUGGCCUCCGUGUCAGUGUUACUGCUGAAAUUCCAGCCAAAGCCCCGCCUCCUGUGUACACGCACCCCACCCCUGCACCUUGACUGCUCUUUUUAUAAAAGUACUUUACUUUUGAAUAAUUUAGCACAACAGGCAGCCAGUUAAUUUCUUGGCAGGUUCUUCUCUCUGGCUGCCUCUGAGAGCUCUCCUCUGCAUGGCUUUCUACGGUCUCCCAGUCUCUCCCAAGCUGUCCUUAAAUCAUGAGCCCGGAGGAUGAAUUAUUAAUGCAGCCAUCAUAAGUCCACCACAACCGCCAUCGCACCCCAGAACCAACGACAGAAUCUCAUAGGGAAUGGCUGGAAACCGGCCACGGUUUUACUCAGACUAUAUAUUUCAAGCCACCAUCUGUCCUCCUGAUUAAAACUGAUGACGACUCAUUUCCAAAAGUGAACAUUAAAUUUAAUUAUUAGUGGCUUUAUAUUUAUAGUUAGUUAAGGGAUGUAUUUUUUUACCCAAAAUAAACGUUUCCCUUAGGAAAUUA